CAAGACUUGCGCUUUUGGAGCGGCCGAUGUCUGAUUAGCUAGUUGGUGAGGUAAAGGCUUACCAAGGCGUCGAUCAGUAGCUGGUCUGAGAGGACGACCAGCCACACUGGGACUGAGACACGGCCCAGACUCCUACGGGAGGCAGCAGUGGGGAAUUUUGGACAAUGGGGGAAACCCUGACCCAGCCAUGCCGCGUGAGUGAAGAAGGCCUUCGGGUUGUAAAGCUCUUUCAGCCGGAACGAAACGGUCACGGCUAAAUAUCCGUGACAACUGACGGUACCGGAAGAAGAAGCACCGGCUAACUACGUGCCAGCAGCCGCGGUAAUACGUAGGGUGCGAGCGUUAAUCGGAAUUACUGGGCGUAAAGCGUGCGCAGGCGGUUUUGUAAGUCAGAUGUGAAAUCCCCGGGCUUAACCUGGGAACU
rnacentral:rRNA from 1 species